GCUUGCGUUCCUGGUAACAACCCUGGAAUAAUCAGUGCCCCUGGGAAAGGAACCCAUACCCCUGGGUGUUGUGCCCAUUUCUUGUGACUGCUGCCAGAGGACACUUCUCCGUUGCCUGGCUCUAGCGGCCAGCAGGAUUUUUACACUCCUGGGUCUCAUAAGAUUGUACCCAACAGAGAGAGAGAGAUUUAACAGCUGGUCUCAGUGAGGCACAGCAAGAGGCAACAGACCCAGGAGGUGGGUCUUUCUGUGAAGGAGACCUGUGAACUAAUUACCCUGGCGGUGGCCGGAGGGGUAGGCUUCUUAUUAAACAUCUCCAGGCUGACUGUAAUCCGUGCCAGAGUGCUCAAAGGGCAGGCACUAUCUUCCGCUCACCCUCUGCCCUGCCACAGUGACAGCCUCUCCUGGAGGGCAGCUUUCCCCAAAGGUUGAGCCCCAGGGGGCACCUUGGAUCUCCUGGCUCUGGCGGCUGAAGGGGCUUGCAUUCCUGGGUGCCACCGGACUGUGGCAAUCAGAGGACUAGUCUUCGGCAGGCUGCCAUCGCCAGGGCACUCACUGCACAGACAGCGGACUGAGGCACACUCCAGUCUUUCUGUGAAAGAGGCCACUUGGCUUGUCCUGGAGCAUCCGACUAAGAAGAAUGCUUCAGGAAGUUCCGAGUGCCAACCACAGAGGCUAACCCCAGCCAGAGGAGAGGCCUCCAGGAUUUGAUUUAGUCACCCACAUAGCAUGGAAUGACCUGAAAUUGACAACACAUUUUAGAACACGGCAAUGUUCUGAGGCUGCCCUAGAAGAAAACUGGACACCUUCAAGAAGGCAUUCAUCUUCAGGGACUGAUAUGUAAGAUGGAGAGCAGCAUCUAGAGGAGGCCUGCAUUCCUUGGCUCAGGACACCGCAUAACGUCAUCGCAUCUCCUUCACCGUCUCUGUGUUGGUUUGCAAACUGGCCCACUUGCAAGAGGAAGGAAGGCAAAGAGAGAUAGAAAAAAGAGGCAGACCAGUCCAGAUUGGUAGAUGGCAGCUUUAAUAAACAAGAGAACUUAACGAGGCCUGUCUUGGCUGAUCACAAGACUAGUAGGUGUCUGCACCCACCCACCAUAAUCUGGAAAAUUUAUAUAGAGGCCUUAACUGUGUUCAGCCAUGAAUAUGGUCUAGACGGUCUCAACAAAACACCACCAUCUAAAGGCUGUGUCCUUGCUGUGGCUUCUCAUGCAGGGAAGGAAAACAGAAUGCACAUUCCGAGAACAGAAGAAGGGGUGAGUGCCCAGGUCCAGCUCACAGGUCAACUGGUAGUCACAUCCUCCCCACGACCUCCUCCAACACUCUGCUUCUAUUGUCACAUCACCUUCUCUGACUUUAGUCUUUCUGCCUCCCUAUUGUAAGGAUCCCUAUAAUUGUGCUUGACCUAUCUGCUUAAUCCAGGAUAACCUCCCAACUCAAGAUUCUUACUUUAAUCACAUCUGCAAAGUGUCUUUUGUGUAUAAGUUAACAUAUUUACAGGUUUUGGGGAUUAGGUCAGGGACAUGUUUUGGGAGCCAUUAGUCUGCCUACCCUAUCUAUGGCUUUUGCCAAUGGGAGAAGACUCAAAAGGAGGAGCCUUCCCUAGGUUUUUGUUCAAAGCCAAAACCAUACUUUGAAAUCAUUUCAAAAGGCACAAGUAUGUUUUGCUAAAUGUAAUUGGUUUCUGUCUACAUAGGCCUUUCUUGUUAAAAUUUAAUUAUUACUACCCUUAGGGUUGUCUUUACUUUUCUUUUUAUUUCCUCUUACAUACCUAUUACUAUUAACCCAGAUCCCUUAUACCAGAAGUUUAUAUCUGAAAACGGAGAAUAGGAUUCUAAAUUCUAUUGCUAGAGUUCAUUAUAAUCCUUCUUAAAAUGGCUUCUGAUCCUAACACCCUCAUUUUUCUCAAUAGCUGUAUAGCAAAAUAGUAAUUGGGGAUAAGACAACGAGCAGAGAAAUUAAUUGUAUCUGAGUUAUAAGUUUGGCUCCCCCAUUUAACUAGUUGUAUGUUCUCAGAGAAGCCACUAAAUCUCUCUAAAGUUCAGUUUCUUCAUCUUUAUAAUGGCAAUAGUAGUUCUGUUGUAAUCAUGUUAAUUAAAUUGCUGUGAAGAUGAGAGAUCCAGUGCAGUGUCUUGCACGUAGUAGGUCAAAAAUAUCCCCUUCUUUCCUUCACCGUCACCAACCAUUGCAGACCUGAAGUGGGGCAUACCUGCUCUUAAGGGAACCAAUUCAUGUGAGAUUAUGACACUAUGUGCCCAUCUUAAGCCAUAUCUUCUACAUACACACAUCACUGAGUGUUGGCAAGGUGGGUCUAUUCCCAAUGUCAAUGUUGAUUUGCUUUUUUUUUA